AUUGAACGCUGGCGGCAGGCCUAACACAUGCAAGUCGAGCGGAUGAAGGGGGCUUUUUCCUGGCUGCAGCGGCGGACGGGCGAGUAAUGACUAGGAGUCUGCCUGGUAGUUGGGGAUAACGUACGGACACGGGCGCGUAGACCGCAUACGUUCUGAGGUUGAACGUGGUGGUUCUUCGGACAUCACGCUAUCUGCUGAGACUGGGUCGGAUUAGCUAGUUGGUGGGGUAAGGGCCUACCAAGGCGACGAUCCAUAACUGGUCUGAGAGGAUGAUCAGUCACACUGGAACUGAGACACGGUCCAGACUCCUACGGGAGGCAGCAGUGGGGAAUAUUGGGCAAUGGGCGAAAGCCUGACGCAGCCAUGCCGCGUGAGUGAAGAAGGUCUUCGGAUCGUAAAGCUCUGUUAGUUGGGAAGAAGGGAAGUAAAUUAAUCCCUUGCUAUCUUGACGUUACCAACAGAGAAAGCCACGGCUAACUUCGUG
rnacentral:rRNA from 1 species